rnacentral:rRNA from 1 species
CCCGCAACGAGCGCAACCCUUGCCUUUAGUUGCCAGCAGUUCGGCUGGGCACUCUAAAGGGACUGCCGGUGUUAAACCGGAGGAAGGUGGGGAUGACGUCAAGUCCUCAUGGCCUUUAUGACCAGGGCUACACACGUACUACAAUGGCCGAUACAAAGGGCAGCGACACUGCGAGGUGAAGCCAAUCCCGUAAAAUCGGUCUCAGUCCGGAUUGGAGUCUGCAACUCGACUCCAUGAAGUUGGAAUCGCUAGUAAUCGUGGAUCAGCAUGCCACGGUGAAUACGUUCCCGGGCCUU